UCUUGCGCAUGGUGUCAUGUUUUUUUUAUUGAUAACGUUUUUGAUAAUGAAUUUCACGUAGGUUAUCAUUAGUUUGAGCAAGUUUGAUCAUUUUAAGAUUUUAUGAAAUUCGUGGUAAGUUGAACUGACGGGAAGUAUAUUCUACAACCUGGAAAGGAAAAUGUCUGAUGAAGAGGCAAUUAAAACAGCGGCGACAGUAGGGACAGCGCCGUUGUGGGUGCCGGCAGCCGCUGCAGGUGGCCUUGUUUAUGGUGCAGGAAAAGGUAUCGAUGCUGCAAAUGACUUCGGAAAGGAGAACGGACCUAUAGCUGGUAUAGCAGCAGCUCCAUUCAUUGUUGCAGCCAACAUUAUAGCUGGUCCAUUCAGAGGAAUCAAGAAAGUGGGCGCUGUGAUGAUAGGGAAGAGUGAUAAAAAGUAAACUACUUAUUAUGUUGCAUUGUGGAAAGACUUUAAUGAAAUAUUACUCAAACCAUUAUCUCUACUGAUCGUUUUAUUAGGUUAAUUGUUAUCUCCUAAAUCAACCUUUUUCACAUUAUCAUCAGGUCGUCACAGUUUUAUCAUUGUACUGUCAUCUUGCAGUCUUGUAGCAUUUCAAAUUUCAUAUGUUUCGAAAAAGUUUUACACAUACAAACAUAUUUAACUGCAUUGUACAAUUUGCAUUUGAUAUCAACAGUUUUAUCAACAUGUUGUGGAAAACAUUACGAGUAUGAUAAUCAGACAAAAAUAGAUAAAUAAAAAACUGUGUGAACUUUGUGGUCAGGCGACCUAAAUUUUAAAAAAAAAUAUUGAAAUUUUGUAAAAGGAAUUAAAACGACUCAUACAUUUUUAUGAUAGUUCGUGUCAUUUAAAAGAUAUGAGCUGAAAAAAAAAUUUGAGAUUUUGUUUUGAUUUUAUCAUUUUUUUGUGAAUUGGCGGCCUAGCGACAGCAACUUUUAAAGUUGUUGAAAUUUUAUUAAAAUAAUUAAAACGAAAUCUUAAUAAGUUCUUAAUACAUUGUUUUGUCCUUUUAAAGAUAUAUAAGCAGGCGAAUCAAUCUGAUAGAAGUUUAACUGAUUUUAACAUUUUUGUAACGUUGCGGGCUAAACUUUGAAAGAAGUUGAAAUUUUGUAAAAAAGAUACUACAGCUCUAAAUAAAAUUUUUCUGUUCAUUUAAAAUACAAAAAAACCAGAUAAAAUUGAUUUAAUCAUUUUUGUGAUCUUGUGAACAUGCACCAGUCUUACCUGUUCAAUUGGUGUUAUUAAAACAAUUAAAAUGACUCUUAAUGAAGUUCUUAAGGCAGUUUAUUGUGAUUUAAAAGAUAAUAUAUAUAAAACAUUUGCUCCACCCCAUUGAAAAAAUCAUGCUAAAUAUAUAUUUUUAUGAUAGGGGUAACAUAAACAUAUAUAAAGUUUUGCACAUUCUAUUACCAAACAUCCUAGUAUAAGAUUUAAACUCAUGUUACAUUGAACUAUGGUGUUUGAUUAUUAUUUAUUCAUAGAUAUUAAUAACUGUGAUACUAGAACUAUUUACUAGUAGUUGUCUAGAUUUAAAGCUAUUUGAAUCAUUUGAACACAUUUUAGUUUAUUUGUUUUGGAUUUUAUCAGUUUUAUCACAAGCAAGGACUUGGGUGCUCAACCGGCCGGGUGAUUUUUCUGUGUUAUGCCAUUUGUGAAUAUGUGAAAUGCUUUUAGGAAAUAAAAAAUGCACAUUAACUAUUUGCACUAAGUUUGCAAAUCAAUAUAACGUACAUUCAAACAAACAAUUCAUUUAAUGUUUGUGUUUUUUUAAAGUAACUUUGUUUUUUUUAAGAUAAAUUAACAUAUUACUAAAUUUUGUCUGAAUAUUGGCCCAAUAUUUUGUCAUAUAGAUAGAUAGUAACUAUAUUUAACAGAUUUUAUUCAACAAAUAGGAAAUAUUUAUAUAACUAAAAAAUAUAUGACAAACAUAAGUGUGAAUUAAGUAAUGUUAUGGCGCCCGGUCCGGCCUAUACAUAUCUAAGAAUACAGUUUGCUAACAAUAUUAUAUAUGUAAAAAAUUAUGUAUGAAAUUGUAAUAACGUUCUAGAUUUUAAUAUAACAAAGAAUUGUAUGAAAGACGGUAAUACUAAUGUCAUGAAUUAUUUAUUAUUUUUAAUAUUCAUUCAUACAUAUACAAGAAAGGUUGACCUUUUUACACUGACAUGAACUUGCAAUAAACAUGAUAAAUAUUUUACUUGU